CCCGCAUACCGGUGCUGCUUUUAGUAGCUUGGCAAAAAUCCCGCUGGGAUCAGCUGGACAAGAUGUCAUGGAUGCAAGAGCAGAGGAGUAUACCCAGUUGUAGCACUCAACUGUAAAAAAAAGUUUUAACUCAUACAUGACUUUGGUGGAAUCCAUGAAGUGGAAGCUGCAAGACACCUCAGAAACAACUGAAGCUUGGAAGUGAGUCAAUUAAUAAAAAUAACAUUUAAAAAGAUUCUU
rnacentral:lncRNA from 1 species